AUGCUGGCGGCGUGCCUAACACAUGCAAGUCGAGCGGCAGCGAGUUUUACACUGAAUUCUGGAAGCUUCUGGGUAAUAUAGAAGAUCUAUUCAAGAAUUUUGUGUAAAAUGUCGGCGAGCGGCGGACGGCUGAGUAACGCGUAGGAAUUUGCCCCAAAGUGAGGAAUAACUGCCCGAAAGGGUAGCUAAUGCCGCAUAUGGUCUUCGGAUUAAAGCCUUCGGGCGCUUUGGGAGAAGCCUGCGUUGGAUUAGGUAGUUGGUAGGGUAAUGGCCUACCAAGCCGACGAUCCAUAGCUGGUCUGAGAGGAUGAUCAGCCAGACUGGAACUGAGACACGGUCCAGACUCCUACGGGAGGCAGCAGUGAGGAAUCUUCCACAAUGGGCGAAGGCCUGAUGGAGCAACGCCGCGUGAAGGAUGAAGGCCUUCGGGUUGUAAACUUCUUUUAUGAGUGAAGAAUAUGACGGUAACUCAUGAAUAAGCACCGGCUAACUACGUGCCAGCAGCCGCGGUCAUACGUAGGGUGCAAGCAUUAUCCGGAGUGACUGGGCGUAAAGAGUUGCGUAGGCGGUUUAAUAAGUGAAUAGUGAAACCUGGUGGCUCAACCAUACAGACUAUUAUUCAAACUGUUAAACUCGAGAAUGGUAGAGGUAACUGGAAUUUCUAGUGUAGGAGUGAAAUCCGUAGAUAUUAGAAGGAACACCGAUGGCGUAGGCAGGUUACUGGGCCAUUUCUGACGCUAAGGCACGAAAGCGUGGGGAGCGAACCGGAUUAGAUACCCGGGUAGUCCACGCCGUAAACGAUGGAUACUAGCUGUUGGAGGUAUCGACCCCUUCAGUAGCGAAGCUAACGCGUUAAGUAUCCCGCCUGGUGGAGUACGGCCGCAAGGCUAAAACAUAAAGGAAUUGACGG
rnacentral:rRNA from 1 species